rnacentral:lncRNA from 1 species
UCCACCACUUGACACCUCCGAUUAAAAUAUUAUUUAUCUAGUAUAAAACCCUUUGGUGAAGAGAGAGAGCAUAAAGAGAGUCGUACAAACUUGGCAGCGGGUGGCUAAAAAGAGGAACCCAGGGACUCGUGAAGUUGGGGUGAAGAUUUUAUACGAACAGCGAACUCAUAAAUGUUAGUGAUGGAGUUUCAUAGUUUUUAGUGUGAGAUCAGUCUUUUUGCUGUGAUAUUUUUAUGAGUUUUGGAGCAUGCAAUUCAGUAAUAUAGAAAUGCAUUGAUCUGACUAUAUUAAGGGGAUGUGCUCCCCAGAUACCCUAUUGUAUCUUAGGUUUGUACCGGGUAGGGAGUUAUCAACACUUCGAAGACAACUAGCUCAUCUCGUACCUUUAAAUCCCAAUUUUUCACUACCACUUUGUUAGACCUUUAAAUCUGGCUCCGAUUCUUACAGGAAUUCGACUAGUAUUAGGAGUGUUUCGAUUUCUUGAUUUAACCUUCAAAUCCAUAUCUGAAUCCUUGGGGAGUCCAAUGGGAACUAGGAGCAUUCAGGUAUUAUUUUACACUAUCCCAGUCAAGGGGAGAUGCUACUGAAUUUUUUUGGGACUUGAGAUAGUGAACACAAUUAUCGAGCGCUAAUUAGAUUUUUUGGUUGUCAGGCAGACUUUCGAGUGUCAGUCAGUCUUAUAGGGCACCAGUUUGGGUGUGCGUCAAGCUUAUCGAACGUGUGUUAAGCUAUUAACUGUGCGUUAAGUUGUUGAUUGUGUAUCAAGCUUUCGACCAUGAGUUAAGCUAUCAACUGUGC